UUUCUUCUCUCAGUCCAACCGGUCGCAGCAGAUGGCCCCGCCCCUCCCUGAGCCUGGUUCUGCCGGAGGUUUCUUCCUGUUAAAAGGGAAGUUUAAAUCCCGGAGGACAAUGUCCACAGCAAAGAAUAAACAGGGCAAACAACAGAAAUAUAAAGUCUCAUGGGCGCACACCACUAACAGCACAAGGAAGAACGAAAUCCACAUGGAGAAUGUGUUGCCUCAUCACUUUACACUCAACUUAUCACAGACACACUGAGGCACCAGGAGACCAGAACCUAAACCCAGGAUAAAGAGUUUCAGUGAAUGUGGUGUUGAAGGUGUGGAGGUGGAUCAGAGUGUCAGAGGAGACUCUGUAGAAGGACAGAGUGCCAGCAGGACAGUCCACAUACACUGCUACUCUGUUAGAGACAGAGGAGGAGGAGGAGGAGGAGGAGGAGGAGGAGGAGGAGGAGAUGGAUGUUUGUCUGUUAUUGUGCCAGACAGAACGAGGACAAAAAUCAGAGCAACUCAGACUCCAGGACUGAUCAUUUUUACCAAACCAACAGUCUUUACUGCCUCCUUUCCUUCUGAUUCUUCUGUAACUCACUGAUAUGAAAA